rnacentral:rRNA from 1 species
UUGGAGGGNAAGUCUUGGCUGCCAGCAGCCGCGGUUAAUUUCCAGCUUCCAAUAGCGAUAUAUUAAGUUGCUUGCAGAUUAAAAAGCUCGAUAGUUUGAACCCUUGGGCCUGGCUGGCCGGAUCCGCCUCACCGCGUGCACUGGUUCGGCCGGGCCUUUCCCUCUGGGGAGCCUCAUGCCCUUCACUGGGUGUGUUGGGGAACCAGGACUUUUACUGUGAAAAAAUUAGAGUGUUCAAAGCAGGCCUAUGCUCGAAUACAUUAGCAUGGAAUAAUAGAAUAGGACGUGUGGUUCUAUUUUGUUGGUUUCUAGGACCGCCGUAAUGAUUAAUAGGGACAGUCGGGGGCAUUAGUAUUCAAUUGUCAGAGGUGAAAUUCUUGGAUUUAUUGAAGACUAACUACUGCGAAAGCAUUUGCCAAGGAUGUUUUCAUUAAUCAGGAACGAAAGUUAGGGGAUCGAAGACGAUCAGAUACCGUCGUAUCUUAACCAUAAACUAUGCCGACUAGGGAUCGGACGGUAUUAUUUUUUGACCCGUUCGGCGCCUUACGGGAAAC